CCUACGGGCGGCAGCAGUGGGGAAUAUUGCACAAUGGGGGAAACCCUGAUGCAGCGACGCCGCGUGAGUGAAGAAGUCUUUCGGUAUGUAAAGCUCUAUCAGCAGGGACGAAAAUGACAGUACCUGAACAGGAAGCCCCGGCUAACUACGUUCCAGCAGCCGCGGGAAUACGUAGGGGGCAAGCGUUGUCCGGAUUUACUGGGGGUAAAGGGGGCGUAGGCGGUUAUGUAAGUCUGUAGUGAAAGGCCGGGGCCCAACCCCGGGACUGCAUUGGAUACUGUGUAACUGGAGUGCAGGAGGGGCAGGCGGAAUUCCUGGUGUAGCGGUGAAAUGCGUAGAUAUCAGGAGGAACACCGGGGGCGAAGGCGGCCUGCUGGACUGAAACUGACGUUGAGGCUCGAAAGCGUGGGGAGCAAACAGGAUUAGAUACCCGAGUAGUC
rnacentral:rRNA from 1 species